rfam:Thiovulum sp. ES ThvES_contig00014.14, whole genome shotgun sequence.
AGAGAGUAGAAGGCAACUGCUUGGAGACAAGAGGAAAGUCUGGGCUAUAGUAGAGCAGGGUUCUAUCUAACGGAUAGCCACCGUGAGGUGAGGGACAGUGUAACAGAGAGUAGUCUGCCGAAAGGCGAUGGUGAAACGGUAGGGUAAGAGCCUACCAGUCCUUUAAGCGAUUUUAGGAGCUGUAUAAACCCAACCCAUAGCAAGAGAAAGUUGGUAUAAGCUCUACAAUCUUAAAAUUUUCUCGCUUGAUCUCUAUUGUAAAAUAGAGGCUAGAUAAAUAGUUGCUUAAAACAGAACCCAGCUUACUCUACUCUCAAUUU